UUGUUUCCAAUUUAUAACGAACAAGAUGGACACAGUUUACAAAAGCAAAAGAUUUGAUGUGAUCUGUGAAACUGUUUGUGAAACACACAUGUAUACUCAAGAGAAUUAACAAGACUUUUAUCAGUCUUAUUUUGAUGAAUUGUUGAACCAUAGAAAUGUAAAGACCUACAGACACCUAGACUGUAUAGUCAACAAUGAUUAGAGAAUCAGCCUAUUUAUUCAACAUUACAAUGAUUAGAGAAUCAGCCUAUAUAGUCAACAUUACAAUGAUUAGAGAAUCAGUCUGUAUAGUCAACAUUACAAUGAUUAGAGAAUCAGCCAGCUGCAUUUCAUCAAUCAGUUAAUGAUGAAGCUUUGCAGCAUUGGAAAUGAUUACUCGGGAACCAAACAACUGAGCAGAAAGAAGAACUGUAUCCAAUGACCUUGAAGAGUAAGCAAAAGAAGAACCGUAUCCAAUGACCUUGAAGAGUAAGCAAUGUAUUAAGUAUAUUUGGGGUUACCAAAGAGUAUGGUAAGAACCUCAUCUAAAAUUAUACUUGGUGAGUAUUCUUUUUGUUGGUUAAAUAUUAUGCAUCAUUAUGAAAAAUGGGGGAUAUAGGGUAUACACCAACAAGACAGCGACCAAAUGAAAAUAAAUAGACAUUUUAAUAGAGGACUUCAACUAUUAUAGUCUGAUGAUACAAUACUUAAUUUUUGUAAAUCAUCCAAAGUCUGAAAUAUUUGUGAAUAAAAUGAACAGACUAACAAAUAACUUACAUACACACCAAUAUCUGACCUACUAAGCACAUGAGCAUGUUGCGGGGUGAAACCAUUUUUUUUAUAUAAAGCUUGAGUCCGUUUUUUGCAAUGCCUAACCAAACUACAAAAUUUUAUACAGAAAACUUUUUAAAUUGAGGGGUUUCAAAUUUUAAAUAAGCUAUAAUUUAUGUUUUAUUAAAAAAAAAAUGCCAGAUGCAAUUAACAAACAACAAAAUAUUUGGAAAUCCUGACUCCCCUGCAAAAGAAAAAGUGUCACUCUUUUUAUUGAGGAAAAUGGCCACUACCUCAAUGGUCUUUAAAAUUAAUUCAGUUGCUCUGGUCAUUUUUCAAAAUUGAACAAGUGUAUGGAACUGUUUUGAUGAGGCUUACCUUUAAUUAAUGGGAUAUAAUUGUGACCACAUGAAUCAUAAUUCUGAAAACUUAAAGAGGGGUCCUGAUCCCGAAAUCCUGGGCUUAAAAACACGAAUUCCUGAGGUCCUGAAUUUAAAUAAAUUUAAAUCUCGACAUCUCGAACAAAGAUUUCCUGUAUCCCGAAAUCCUGUGCUUAAAAACACCUGAUCUUGGAGUCCCAAUAAAGGUCCUAUCCCCCCUCACAUCUAUAAUUGAUAACUAAGAUAAAAGAAAUACAGAAAUUGUUUUGCCUUUUGCCAUGCUUACAUCAACAAAAGAAUUAUUUUUUCAUUUUUCAAAAUAAUUUCCAAGAUGUAGAAUGCCAUUCUUCUAACAAAAUACCACAGCAUGAAGACCCUAAUCAGCACACUAAAAUGUCCAAUGUGUGUCCUACAUCUUGAAAUAAAUAUAAAUUUAUAAAUGUCCAAAUAUUUCAAAAAAUUUUUUUUUAUUUUUUUACUCAUUUCUACUCUGUUGAGACAAAUUCACUAGCACUGCACUUUGAUUUUGACGAAGACGAACAAAGUGUUUAUUGAAAUUGAAUGGCAUUAUUGACCUAGUGACAACUUUGUUUGGGACAUGGAAAGCUUUUCGUCAUUGUUGGUUGUUUUAUUGGCUUUCACCUCUUGAGUCACAAAGAACCUUAUGUACGUUAGUUUCAUUGAAAUGUUAUAUGCAUUGUCAAUGCUAAACAUUUGAUUGACUUUGACUGUCAAUGCUAAACAUUUGAUUGACUUUGACUGUGUUUUUUUUUAGUUUCUUCAGAGUGAUAAUGAGUUUGAACAAAACAGAAUAUAAUCUUUUCUUAGUGAUAAGAAGUUUUGACUCUCAUUUUUG